UACCUAGGUCAGUAAAGGCGUGGCCAAGGGUGAAGGACUGUUACAUCCUGUGGCCUGCCAAUUGGGCCGUACCAUCUGAUGCCAUGCUGGCGGA